GUUGCCCCUGAAUCAUGGAGUUUCCCCUUGAUCCUGAAGCAGCCCUUUGCUUUCUGGGGUGGAAUGGCACAGCACCUAAAGGCUAGAAAAAAAGAUGAAGAAAAGAUGGAAGGAAUGAGGAUAACCAGAUGGGGAGAAAGACAGCUGUGUUAAAAACCGCAGUGCUCCACUUCUCUGCCCGGGCGCGAUGCAGGAGACUCCCUCCGGAAGGCGAGUGGCUGUGGGCCCUGCUGACGGUUCUCCAACGUCAGGUCCCUUCUGGAGGAGACAAGUGACACAAGAGUUAGAUGUCUCUCCAAAAGUCACAAAUCAACAUUCUGGGAGAGUUGCUGGUUCAAACGUGCUUUUGGAGAUGUGGCUCAGGUCUUGGUGGAGAUACUCUUAUGAACCUAAUAUUAAUUCAACUUC
rnacentral:lncRNA from 1 species